UACAGGGGGGGCAAGCGUUGUUCGGAAUUACUGGGCGUAAAGGGCUCGUAGGUGGCCAACUAAGUCAGACGUGAAAUCCCUCAGCUUAACUGGGGAACUGCGUCUGAUACUGGAUGGCUUGAGUUUGGGAGAGGGAUGCGGAAUUCCAGGUGUAGCGGUGAAAUGCGUAGAGAUCGGGAGGAACAUCAGUUGCGAAGGCGGCUCUCUGGACCAGCACUGACACUGAGGCACGAAAGCGUGGGGAGCAAACAGG
rnacentral:rRNA from 1 species